rnacentral:rRNA from 1 species
UACGGAGGGUGCAAGCGUUUAAUCGGAAUUACUGGGCGUAAAGCGUGCGUAGGCGGUUCGUUAAGUCUGUUGUGAAAGCCCCGGGCUCAACCUGGGAAUGGCAAUGGAUGCUGGCGAGCUAGAGUGUGUCAGAGGAUGGUGGAAUUCCCGGUGUAGCGGUGAAAAUGCGUAGAGAUCCGGAGGAACACCAGUGGCGAAGGCGACACGCUGGGCCGUACCUGACACUGAUGCGCGACAGCUGG